rfam:Ictidomys tridecemlineatus contig017232, whole genome shotgun sequence.
GGGGUUGUGGCUCAGUGGUGAAGUGCUCACCUAGCAUGUGUGAGGCACUGAGUUAGAUCCUCAGCACCCAUA